rnacentral:rRNA from 1 species
AAUACAUGCAAGUCGAACGGUAGACUACUUUCGGGUAGUUGAGAGUGGCGCACGGGUGCGUAACGCGUAUGCAACCUACCUUGUACAGGGGGAUAGCCCGGAGAAAUUCGGAUUAAUACCCCAUNGCAUUACCAGAUGGCAUYUGAAGGUAAUUAAAGAUUUAUCGGUACAAGAUGGGCAUGCGUGACAUUAGUUAGUUGGUKAGGUAACGGGUUACCCAGACUAUUAUGUUUUGGGGUUUUUGAGGGUGGUUCCCCACCCUUGUUCUGUGAUWCGGGCCAGACUCCUACUGGAGGCAGCAGUAGGGAAUAUUGGUCAAUGGGCGAGAGCCUGAACCAGCCAUGCCGCGUGCAGGAAGACGGCCUUCUGGGUUGUAAACUGCUUUUAUACGGGAAGAAAAKACCCUUGCGAGGGAGAUUGCCGGUACCGUAUGAAUAAGCACCGGCUAACUCCGUGCCAGCAGCCGCGGUAAUACGGAGGGUGCAAGCGUUGUCCGGAUUUAUUGGGUUUAAAGGGUGCGUAGGCGGGCCUUUAAGUCAGUGGUGAAAGCCUGCAGCUUAACUGUAGAACUGCCAUUGAUACUGGAGGCCUUGAGUGUACUAGAGGUACGCGGAAUUUAUGGUGUAGCCGGUGAAAAUGCAUAGAUACCCAUUAAAGAAA